AACCUCCGCGCGCGUGCGGACGCGGCCCGGCCACGCCGAUGUCAGCCCGGCUUCGGGGGCGUCACGGGCGCCGGGCGGCCGCGCCAAAGCCCGCCCUGCCUCUCGCUCCUAGAGCCCCGGACCUCGGCGACAGGGGCAGACGCUGCGGGCACUUGGGUGCCCCGGCUCCCCGCCCCGCACCACUCCCAGCAUCGCGGGCGGCUCUGCUGCCCCGCAUGUCCCAGCCUGCUUCUCCACUCGCGGGGCCCUGGCCUACGGGGAGACGGCCGCUCGAGGCCGGACUGUCCCACGCUCCGUGCUAGAAGGUGGGCGUACGCCGAGAACUGGGGCCGGUGAGGCCAGCUCAGGGGGCACCAGCGCGGAGGGGACGCCCCAGCACGCACCGGCGCCUCCGCCCGCGGCCAGCGCAGUCCCCGGCCCGCCGCGCGCGGGGAAGUUGCUGGCGCCGCGCCCCCCGCGCACCCCGCGCCCCGGCCGCGCGAUUGGCCGCCGCCUCCGGCUCCGCGAGAUCCCAUUGGUCCGGGGGCGGGGCCCGAGCCGGAGCACCCGGGCUACGUAACCGCAGGCGAGUGGGCGGCGACGAAGACCCCAGAGCGUUCCGUGACGGAGGCCGGCUCGCGGCCAAUCCUCGGCUGAUCCCGGCGGGCCCGGGGCGUGGGCGGGAACGGCGUGACCGCGAGAAGAUUCGGCCCGGCGCGGGGGGCGGGGCCGCUGGGCCAGCGAGGCAGUCGUAGGGCUCCGGAGCUGUCCGUCACCAGAGAGCUGAACACAGGUAACUCACCAAUGAUGAUGAUGAUGAUGAAGACCAGAACACUGAUCCCGAUCGCCCACAUCUGCAACAGACAUCACGGGCUUACUGAAGAGUAUCUCACAAUUCCAGUCACCGAGAGAGAAACGCAGGUGUCCACAAUCCGAACAACUAAAGCCUAACCACAGCAGAGAAAGCUGCUGCCCGCAGUGCUGGCAUCCCACAUGGGCACUGCAUCGCGUCCUGGCUGCUCACUCCCGAUCCGGCUGUCUGCUAUGGCCUGGGAAAGUAGAAGACGAUGGCCUAAGCGCUUGGGCCCCUGCACCAGCGUGGGAGACCUGGAAGAAACUCCUGGCUUCGGACUGGCAUUGUUCUGGCCAUUGUGGCCAACUGGAGAGUGACCCAGUGGAUUGAAGACCUGACUCACUCACUCUCUCUGCCUCUCCUUCUCUGUGUAACUCUUUCAGAUUAAUAAAUAAAUCUUUUAAAAAACA